CCUACGGGUGACUGCAGUGGGGAAUAUUGGACAAUGGGGGCAACCCUGAUCCAGCCAUGCCGCGUGUGUGAAGAAGGCCCUCGGGUUGUAAAGCACUUUCAGUGAGGAAGAACGCCUGGUGGUUAAUACCCAUCAGGAAAGACAUCACUCACAGAAGAAGCACCGGCUAACUCCGUGCCAGCAGCCGCGGUAAUACGGAGGGUGCGAGCGUUAAUCGGAAUUACUGGGCGUAAAGCGCGCGUAGGUGGCUUGAUAAGCCGGUUGUGAAAGCCCCGGGCUCAACCUGGGAACGGCAUCCGGAACUGUCAAGCUAGAGUGCAGGAGAGGAAGGUAGAAUUCCCGGUGUAGCGGUGAAAUGCGUAGAGAUCGGGAGGAAUACCAGUGGCGAAGGCGGCCUUCUGGACUGACACUGACACUGAGGUGCGAAAGCGUGGGUAGCAAACAGGAUUAGAUACCCUAGUAGUC
rnacentral:rRNA from 1 species